rnacentral:lncRNA from 1 species
AAAUCAAAAAGUAUAAUGUCUAUUAAUAGUUCUACUCCUGAAGCUUUUAUUUUACAAUUUUUAUACACAUAAUGAGCUUCUAAUAGACCUCUAGAGGGAGUUUGUACUGCUAAUACUCAUUUAAAGGUUCAUGCCUAAUAUCUAACUUACAAGCAAAAGAACAUGAAAUAAGAAAAUGGGUGUCACCUAUAUCAAUCAAAGCUUGAGCAGAAAUGUCAUGAA